UACGUAGGUGGCAAGCGUUGUCCGGAAUUACUGGGUGUAAAGGGCGUGUAGGCGGGGCGGCAAGUCAGAUGUGAAAUACCGUGGCUUAACUGCGGGGGUGCAUCUGAAACUGCUGCUCUUGAGUGUCGGAGAGGAAAGUGGAAUUCCCAGUGUAGCGGUGAAAUGCGUAGAGAUUGGGAGGAACACCAGUGGCGAAGGCGGCUUUCUGGACGAUAACUGACGCUGAGGCGCGAAAGCGUGGGUAGCAAACAGG
rnacentral:rRNA from 1 species